rnacentral:rRNA from 1 species
GGAGUUAGCCGGUGCUUCUUCUGCGAGUAACGUCACAGAUGUAAGGUAUUAACUUACACCCUUUCCUCCUCGCUGAAAGUGCUUUACAACCCGAAGGCCUUCUUCACACACGCGGCAUGGCUGCAUCAGGGUUUCCCCCAUUGUGCAAUAUUCCCCACUGCUGCCUCCCGUAGGAGUCUGGGCCGUGUCUCAGUCCCAGUGUGGCUGAUCAUCCUCUCAGACCAGCUAGGGAUCGUCGCCUAGGUGAGCCUUUACCUCACCUACUAGCUAAUCCCACCUGGGCUUAUCCAUCAGCGCAAGGCCCGAAGGUCCCCUGCUUUCCCCCGUAGGGCGUAUGUGGUAUUAGCAGUCGUUUCCAACUGUUAUCCCCCACAAAUGGGCAAAUUCCCAGGCAUUACUCACCCGUCCGCCGCUCGUCAUCUUCAAAAGCAAGCUUUUGAAAUGUUACCGCUCGACUUGCAUGUGUUAGGCCUGCCGCCAGCGUUCAAUCUGAGCCAGGAUCAAACUCUGA